rnacentral:tRNA from 1 species
GGAUCUGUGGUGGAAUGGUAUACACACCAUGCUUAAAACGUGGCGCUUAACUGAUUGAGGGUUCAAGUCCCUCCAGAUCCACCA